UAUGAAGGGGGCUAGCGUUGCUCGGAAUCACUGGGCGUAAAGCGCACGUAGGCGGCUUUUUAAGUCAGAGGUGAAAUCCUGGAGCUCAACUCCAGAACUGCCUUUGAUACUGGAGAGCUUGAGUCCGGGAGAGGUGAGUGGAACUGCGAGUGUAGAGGUGAAAUUCGUAGAUAUUCGCAAGAACACCAGUGGCGAAGGCGGCUCACUGGCCCGGUACUGACGCUGAGGUGCGAAAGCGUGGGGAGCAAACAGG
rnacentral:rRNA from 1 species